UGCUUAGUUAGUUUAAAACAAAACAUUAGAGUGUGGAUCUAAAGAUUAAAUGAUUAUUUAACUAGGCAA
rnacentral:tRNA from 1 species